rnacentral:lncRNA from 1 species
CCCGGUCGUCCCGCCGGCCCCGGAGAUGCUGUCGGGCUGCGCCGCCGCCUCCCCCCCCCAGAAGCGACCCACGGCGCAGAUCCGACGUAGCCCUCUGCAGGAGAUCGUCGCCGGGGCUCCCUCUUUCCCUUCGGUCGCCGUGGGUGUGCCGGACGCCUCUGGCAGGACUAACCCCGUGGCUUUUACGUCCAGCGUGCUGUGCUGUGUGUGCCUGCAGUAUCUUGUACAAGACAAAGCUACCUUUCCUCGUGGGAACGGACUGGCCGGGCUUUGGCAAUCUGGCCCCUCGAAAGACUAAGUGACCUCUUCCAACAGGGGAAGACUUUCUGGCAAGCGGUGCCAGGAAGAACUGGAGUUUCUGGAGAAUAAAAGCUGGAAGCGUGCCCCUGAAAAUCCCCA